rnacentral:rRNA from 1 species
UACGGGAGGCAGCAGUGGGGAAUAUUGCACAAUGGGCGCAAGCCUGAUGCAGCCAUGCCGCGUGUAUGAAAAAGGCCUUCGGGUUGUAAAGUACUUUCAGUCGUGAGGAAGGUGUUAAGGUUAAUAACCUUAGCAAUUGACGUUAGCGACAGAAGAAGCACCGGCUAACUCCGUGCCAGCAGCCGCGGUAAUACGGAGGGUGCGAGCGUUAAUCGGAAUUACUGGGCGUAAAGGGCACGCAGGCGGUUAAUUAAGUUGGAUGUGAAAUCCCCGGGCUUAACCUGGGAAUGGCAUUCAAGACUGGUUAGCUAGAGUCUUGUAGAGGGGGUAGAAUUCCAUGUGUAGCGGUGAAAUGCGUAGAGAUGUGGAGGAAUACCGGUGGCGAAGGCGGCCCCUGGGACAAAGACUGACGCUCAUGUGCGAAAGCGUGGGGAGCGAAACAGGGAUUAGAUACC